rnacentral:misc_RNA from 1 species
AACGCACAUUGCGCCCUUUGGUAUUCCGAAGGGCAUGCCUGUUCGAGCGUCAUUUAAACCCUCAAGCAUAGCUUGGUGUUGGGCGUCUGUUCCCCCGGGGACUCGCCUCAAAAGCAUUGGCAGCCGGUACGUUGGCUUCGAGCGCAGCAGAAAACGCGCCUGGCGUCUGACGGUACUGGCUCUCCAGCAAGUCACCCCCAAAUUUUGACCUCGGAUCAGGUAGGGAUACCCGCUGAACUUAA